rnacentral:lncRNA from 1 species
AUGUGUAGUCCGCAGGAGUCCGGCAUGACCGCCUUGAGCGCGAGGAUGCUGACCCGGAGCCGGAGCCUGGGACCCGGGGCUGGGCCGCGGGGGUGUAGGGAGGAGCCCGGGCCUCUCCGGAGAAGAGAGGCUGCAGCAGGUAGCGCCGCGCCGUGGCUGGAGCGUGGGAGGAGGCGGGAUAGGGGCUGCAGGCUGGAGUCCCGGGCCGCCUCCUGCGGCUCCCAGCUGCGCGGGCAGGGGCUGCAAACCCGGCAGCCGCGAACGGUUCCCACGUGCGGCCCUGCGUUCCCACCUUGCGCCUUUUUCCCAAAGAUUGCGGUCCGCAGGGGCUGGGUUUCGGGCGCUCCGCUCCGCUGCCCCCUUUCGCCCCAAGCAAGAAAACGCUUCCUUUCCCACCACUCUGUCCGGGACUCUCCACUCCAGGCUCUGUGGGUCCCAUCCCCGCCCUCCUGCAGUGAACUUGCUGUCCUCGGAGAGGCUGGGUGCCAAGGACACACGCAGCCAGAAGCCUGCUCCCCCAGCUCGGGGGAGGGUGCCUCUGAGGGAAAACAGGAAAGGGCAUGGCACUUAUUAUAUUUAUCCUGCAGCCGUUGAGGACCUGCUGGGGGCCAAGCACUGCAGUGAGCAGUGAGGGACACGGACAGGGCCUCUGCGCUAGUCCCGCUGGGACUUCUGCAGAAUUGGCCAGAGCUGGAUUCCCAUAGGCACCCAGGGACCCCAGGGGUAGUCCAGACUAUGUCAGGAGGAACUGGUGCAGCUGGGAGCAGGCAGGUGGUGAUGCCAGCCAGGGUGGCAGGAGCUUUGAUGCCAGGAUAGAGUUUGGAGUUUAUUAUGACAGUAAACGGAAGUCAAUUAGGAGGUUUUGUUGUUUGUUUUGAGAUCGGGUCUUGCUCUGUCACCCAGGCUGUAGU